rnacentral:misc_RNA from 1 species
CGGUAUUGUGGGUUUACCCUUCCCAUUUUCUGGUGGGGUAAAUAGUUGUUUUUUUUUUUUUGUUUUUUGUUUUUUCCUCGUAGAUCUGUGCCAAAUGAAGAGGGACUCUUUGGAUAUGCUAUUUUAGCUUUGGCUGUGUUGUAGGUGGUGGAUUUGGGUUGUGCCUUUGAUGAGAAGGGGGAGCUGGUUUUUCGGCUUUACAAACUUCACUGGGGGAAGAUUUUGUGGGGAUUACAUUACCGACACCUUAAUAGCGUCCAGUUCUCCUCCUUGACUCUAAAUCUUGUCAAAAGCCAGACGCCUCCUUGUAAAGCUGCAGAAACCAAGAACUACAUGGACUCCGU